UUUCAUACGUUUAAGAGUGCGUAUAAGUUCUUCUUGGUGUGUGUGUGUUUUAUUUAGAUUUUUCCGAGAACUAUGGCACACACACACACACACACACACACACACACACACACACACACACACACACACACACACACACACACACACACACACACUUUCUUCCGCUAAAAAACAGUAGUUAUGCGGAACGUCUCAAGAGUAACAUAUUCUCUCUCUCUCUCUCUCUCUCUCUCUCUCUCUCUCUCUCUCUCUCUCUCUCCCCGUGCCACAGUGCCAUCAAUCACCUUUCCUCCCUCGACUGUGGCUCCUAUUCUCUCUCUCUCUCUCUCUCUCUCUCUCUCUCUCAAAAGCCCCCUCGUCUACUUUCUCUCCCUAUCUUCCCUUUCCCUUUUUUUCUACUUCCCUUCUCUUUCCUUUCACUCUGCCUAUCAACCCUAACCCAAGACUUUCAUUCCUCUUUUCCUUUUCCUAUAUUCCUUUCCUUCCUUUUCUUAGCUUCCGAUCUUCCCUUCAUCCAUCAUGCCCUAUCUAUAUAUCUAUCUUCUUUCCCUUGCUUUCUUUGAUUCUCUCCUCCAUGUCUACCUUCAGCUUUAUCUUCCUCCCCUUUCUCUCUUUUAUUUGCAUCUCUCUUCCCAUCUUUUCUAUUAAUUUUCCUACCCUUUGCCUCUUCCUUUUUUUAUUCCUCGCUCUUCCCAUCUCCCUCUAUUUUGUUUCCUCCCAGCCUCUCUUUCUGUUUCCUCUUCUCUUCCAUUUUCUCCCUUUCCUCUCUUCCUAUCUUCCCUUUCUCUCUCUUCGUGCCGUGUCUUAAGCCUAUUCACCUCCCUCCUCCUCCUCCUCCUACCUCUCAUCGCAACCUAAAUUACAGGUGAACGGACCCAAGUGAGGAAAGGUAGGAAGGAACUGACAGGUGAAGGUUGAAGGUCACACGGUUAGGUUAGGUAGAGUAAGGUGAGGUGAGGUGAGGUAAGGUUAUAUUAGGUGAGGUUAGGUUAGGUUAUGUGAGGUGAGGUUAGGUUAAGUUAGGUGCAGUAGGUUAGGCUAGGUAAAGUUCAGGGGCUAUUUUUUUAUGUAAGGUGAGGUGAGGUGAGGUUAGGUUAGGUUAGGUUAAGUGAGGUGAAGUAGGUUAGGCUAGGUAAAGUUAAGGGGCUAUUUUUUUAUGUAAGGUGAGGUUAGGUUAGGUUAGGUGAAGUAGGUUAGGCUAGGUAAAGUUAAGGGGCUAUUUUUUUAUGUAAGGUGAGGUUAGGUUAGGUUAGGUGAAGUAGGUUAGGCUAGGUAAAGUUAAGGGGCUAUUUCUUUAUGUAAGGUUAGGUUAGGUUAGGUUAGGUGAAGUAGGUUAGGCUAGGUAAAGUUAAGGGGCUAUUUUUUUAUGUAAGGUGAGGUUAGGUUAGGUUAGGUGAAGUAGGUUAGGCUAGGUAAAGUUAAGGGGUUAUUUUUUUAUGUAAGGUUAGGUUAGGUUAGGUGAAGUAGGUUAGGCUAGGUAAAGUUAAGGGGUUAUUUUUUUA